rnacentral:lncRNA from 1 species
AUGAAAUCUCAGGCUCCUGGGCGGGGCUGGGGAGGCCGGCCUUGUCACAGGCAGGAGGGGCCGCAUUCCUUCCUCAGCAGCUGGUGGAGCUGGGCCUGAGCAGGACUUCCCCAAAGGACUGAGAAGGAAGCCUCCACUCUGUCGUCGCUCUCUGGAUCUCAUGAUGCAACAGUAGAGAGAAGUUGUUGUCUCACCUCACCUCUCAACCAUCUCCAAAAUAACCGGUCAGAGUAGCAGUACUUGAGCAUCCAUCCAUCCACGCAUCUAGACAGUUUCCCAGAUCUGGACCCCGGUGAGAAAAGGGAACUAAUCGGACUUCUUUUUCUGAAAUUCCAGCUUGGAAUUGCCUUCGGAAGACAUCCUCAAUCCUGCCCCAGCCUUACGAUUGUUUUGUGUCAUUAGAUGAAGUCACUUCACUUCUGAAGCUCACUUGCCUUUUCUAAAAACCGGAGGCUGAUAAGGAUUGCAGGAAACUCAUGGAGUUGUUCCGAGGUUAAAAUGAGAGUCUGCCUGUGGAAGGACAUUGCAGAUGAUAGAAGACACAGAUGUAAGGCAUCUACCUUAUCUUUACCAGUUUCAUCUUCUUCAUCUUCAUCUCAUUACCAUGGUCAUCCUCGUUAGCAGGGAAGAGCAGGAGUUCUCACGGCAGGAUAGGCUUCGCGGCUGUGCUGGGAAAUGCCUGUCUGAAGUAGGCCACACAUGGGCUGUGUGGAGGCUGGAGUGCACUGGUGUGAUCUCGGCUCACUGCAACCUCCACCUCCUGAGUUCAAGCGAUUCUUCUGCCUCAGUUUCCUGAGUAGCUGGAGCUAUAGGCGCAUGUCACCAUGCCCGGAUAAUUUUUGUAUUUUUGUAGUAGAGAUGGGGUUUUGCCAUAUUGGCCAAGCUGGUCUCAAACUGCUGACCUUGUGAUCCACCCACCUUGGCCUCCCAAAGUGCUGGGAUUACAGGCCUGAGCCACCGCACCCGGCCUUGUAUUUCUUUUUCUAUAAAUUACCUCUGUACCCUUUAUCCAUUUUAAAAAUUGGGCUGUCACUUAAAAAAAACUUAUUUGAUGGCAUUGUUUGUACCUUAGGACAUUAACUCUUUUAUAUAAGUUCUAUAGAACUUAUAUAAGUUAUAUAAGUUCUAUAUAACUUAUAUAAUGUUCUAUAAGUUCUAUAUAACUUAUAUAAUGUUCUAUAAGUUCUAUAUAACUUAUAUAAUGUUCUAUAAGUUCUAUAUAACUUAUAUAAUGUUCUAUAAGUUCUAUAUAACUUAUAUAAUGUUCUAUAAGUUCUAUAUAACUUAUAUAAUGUUAUAUAAGUUCCAAAUAAUUUGGAAAUUCCGGUCUGUAAUGAUUGGCUAUUAAAUUAUAACACUGAUGAUCAUCUUUUCGGUUUCUUUCAUUCAUUUAUUUUUGAAGAGCUGCACAAUAGAAUGGAAAAGAGCACUGAAUCAGGAGUAAAAAGAGCUGGGUGUUGACUUGGUACAUCCACAAACUAGCUGUGUAACCUUGUGGAUGCCGUGAAUGUCUCUGUGCUUCAGCCUCCUCGCCUGCAAGAAGUAUGGCAGAUUCACAUCUUGAAUUAUAUGGUGCCCAACCGUAUUAGUGAUUCUGAUUCCCUGGUGAAUAUGGCAACCAGUGAAUUGGGAAGUGGGGGUGAGUAUCAGCUAAAGAAAUGAAAGCACCAGCCUGGCAGGUAAACAGUUCACAGUCCCCCAGAGAUGGCACAGAAGGGCUGUAGUACUAGGGGAUGGGAGACUUGGCAUCUUAGACAAGUCACUGUUCCUGUCUUGGCCUUGGAAUUUUGAUCUGGAAAAUGGGGAUGGGGAAUUGUGGAUGACUAAAGAUUUCUGAGCUGCCUUCCAGCUCUGCUGUUCUGUGAUGGCCCAUGUGAGUCACAGGUAGGUGCUUCUGUGGUGGCCGGCUGGCCGUUUAUCUGGUGGCCUCCCCUCCUCCCUCCCUGCGGGUGGCCCCUCUCCCACACCCUUUCUAACACACUGGGCAUAACUGCUUUACAGCAUCCAUCUGGCUGCUCUUGGUGUGUCUCUGUGUGAGCAACUUCAGAACAAGACUUCUCAACUUUUAAAAAAAGCCUGAUUAAAAAAUUCUCUGUUGAUUAUUAAACAUGCUCAUUGUAGGGAAAAACAAAAUUCAUAAAGCAGAUAAAGAAUUCUAAUAAAUCUGAG